rnacentral:lncRNA from 1 species
AAAUACCACAGCCCAGAAAAAAAAAUCCUUAACAUUUGGUGAAGAUCUCUCUAUGAAACAUACAUUAUCUUAAAAUAUUCAAUGUUAUAAAUGAGCUCAUAUUCAACAUAUAUCCUGUAGUCUACUUUUUGAUUCAAUAAUAUUUUGGGAACAUAUAUCCAUAGCAAUAAACAUAUAUCUAAAUAUUUUUAAAUGACAACUGCAUGGAAUUUAUUUAAUCCAUCUUUUACUGAAGGAUGUUUCAGUUGUUUCCAAUGUUUUAAUAUCAUAAACAUCAUGAAAUAUACCUUUGGGCUCAUGUUUGAAGACUUGGACAACUUUUAUUCAUUAGGAUAAAUUCCUAAACAAACUGCUGGGUAAAGGUGUAUCAACAUUUAGGUUUUCAUACAUGUUGCCAAAUUGCCUUCUAGAAAGGUUCUACCAAUUUUCACUCCUGCCAGUAUUGAACAAGAAUUCCAUUUUUGUCAAUUGCUUUAUCUUUGCCAAUAUGGGAGGACAAAAUUAAUAAUAAUAAAAUAAAAUAACACAUCUUUAUUAGCUGUUUUCAUGUUCAAAUAGAGGACACUUUUAAUUUUUAAGUUAUUCUUUUUCAAGGCAGAUAUUUCCUGGACUUGAAUAAAGUGUUUUUGGUUUGUAUUCUCAUUCCAUCAGUAGUAUGACUUAGGGCAAGAGCCAACUCCUUUAUGCUUCAUUUUUUUAAAUCUAAUAGAUCAAGGAAAUGGAAACCGGCUCAAUAGGUUGUUUAAAGCUUAAGAGAUGUGUGAAUGCACCUAGCACCUACUAGACACAACAAUGAGCCUGCAUUUCCGCAAGUAAGCCAUUCCUACCUCCUUACCCCCCAUUCCAAUUAAUGUUUGUCUAUAAGAAUAUUUUAAAAUUCAAGAGCCAAUGUAAAACUCUGUAAAUAUUAUCUUGCUAUUUAUAGAGACGACCAGAAAAGUUUGCAAUGAUGCAGAUGACAUCCAUAAUGAGUCUCUUAAAUGAAGGUUUGGCAGGCAAUACAGGUCUUUUGAAUAAAAAUGUCUCCCAGGAAAAUACUUGCAAGUCAAGCCCACAGACCAUCAAGUAUAUAUAAAUGAUUUGGAACGGGAAGACAGAUACAAAACACAACAAACAUCAGUUUAUUUCCUGCCAGAACACUGGUUUUUCAUUGCUUAGACAUGGUUUGGGAAUAUUUUCCACCAUAGAGAAAAUUUAUAAGCAACACAUACAACGACUAAUCUUCUUUUCGAAGAUAUCUCAGAUAUUAGUAUUUAAAAUUAGUAGCUUUUAUUCAAGAAUGAUGAAAUGGAAUAAUUUAAGCAAUGAUUGAUUAUAUUCUGAAUACUAGAAAGAUAAACUUCGGGUGCAAUCUAGAUGACAAUCUUGAUUCUGAAGAUGCUUUGAAGGACUAUUUGAUUCAUUCAUUUUACAAAUAUUUGUUGAACCAUAUUAUGCACCAGGUACUGUGCCAGCCAUUAGGGAUCCAAAAAUGAGCAGGACAUAGACCUUUCCCUCAGGGAACCUGCAGUUUUGUGGAAGAAGAAAUAUAAUUUAACAGGCAACUCCAGUAUCACGUGAUAGUGACCUGAGGUUUGUGUAGGUGCCUCAGACCCCCGGAAGAUGCCAUCAGUAUCCAAACAAAUGCCCCAAAGAAACCACAUACCAAUAGAAGAAUAGAAUCUGUCACAAUUGCCAGCCACAAAGCACACCAUAAACUACUUAGUGCAUAUGAAUAGCAAAGUGAGGUCCACCAUGGGAUUAUCAGUUACACAACAGGACAAGGAGAAAACCUCUCUGAACCCAUUUGGAAGAGCUGGCAGAGGAGCCAGGACCUAUGACAGGAGAACCACCCUGAGAUUUAUUCACUUACAUAUAAGCUCCAUGAGGGCAGUGAGCUUUGCUGGUUUCCAUCUGCACUGUAGCCCCAGCUCCUAGAAUAGUGCCUGAUACAAAGGAAGCCAUUGCUAAGUAUUUAUUCAAUGAAUGGAAGUUUGGAUGGAUGGAUUCAUUUAACUCAUAUCAAGUAACUGCAGUGGGUGCCUGUAGCAGAGAAGUUGUAGCAGAGGAGUAGGAUAGUGAUAAAGGCAGGAGACAUGGUACCUACUAAAAAUCUGUGGAAUCAACAAAUGACUUUUCACAUCCAUCCCUUUUCAUAGGAGCUUGAACUGGCAGUGACUCCAUUGUGCAAUUUGGAACACAAGAAAAAGCAUGGAUUUUGAAGUCAGACAAAUCAUUUACUUCGGUUGCAUUGGUGUGUGGUUCAAAUAACAGAUGUCACUGAACUGUUGACUUGGGUAGAUGCCCUGUCUUCCUUAUUAAACUGUGUCUUACUUUGUACCUUAGUAGCUAAUGCAGUGCUUUGAUUCUAGCAGAUGCUUAAUAAAUGCUACUCAUGAUAAACCUCACUUCCUGUACUCAUCAGUCCUCAGGUCAUUAAAGUUGUUUUACACAGGGUGAUGUGCCACCCUAUAAAACUACAAUAUUAUGCAGUGAGUCACAGAUCAUUACAACUCCCAAGAAGUCAAUAAAAUUGAUUAUAUCAGAAAUCCCAUACCUGUUUUUAAAAACAACAAAAUGUUUUCUCCAUGUGUUUGGGCAUUAUAAAAUGGGACAAAAGCCUGAAGCUUAGUAAAUAGGAUCUGCCUGGAGGAUUGCUCAGAGUGCAUUACAAAAAUGAGAGUAAAUGAAAUUAUGAAUUCAUGUUUGCUGAUCAGAGGGAACACCCGGAGACUCAUUCUUGCUUUCUUAUGUAUCUUGGUCUCCACAUCAUGAAACUAUAAAGGUAUCCUCUUAUUACCCAUAGAAAGUUGCAACAUUUAAUUCAUAUCAACUAACGCUUAUUAAUACACCCACUAGAAGGCAAAUCUAGUCAGGAAGACUGAAUCACUCAACAGAAGAUUUGGUACUUCCCAGCCACAGUGGCAUCUGCUUACCACAACGUUAAUCAGGUCACUGCCAGCUUAUCUGACUUCAUCUUUGAGGUGUCCAAAAUAGUUAUACUCUAGAAAGAUGGUCUAGUCAAUAAGAUGAUUGGUCAACAAUCUUUCUAGAGCUCCCACUCUGUGCUAACCAACAUCCUAUGUAAUAGGAUGAAUAUAACAGAAUGAAAAGAAAGGAUCCUUUUCUCAAAAAACAUACCAGUGAUGGAAAGGUAGGAUCUACCAAUCUAUAACAAUUUAAGAGCACCUUAAGGCAGCGAUUUUCACGGAUGUGAAGAGCGGGCUUCACAUCAUUGGCAUCAGCAUCACCUGGGAACUCAUUAGAAAGCAAAAUUUCUAACCCCAGACCUAUUGCAUCAGAAGCUGGGUGGACCCAGCAAUCUGCGUUUUUAACCAGCUUUCCAAGUCAUUCUGAUGCAUACUACAGUUUGAGAAACCCUGCUUUAAGUCAGCUAAGCAAGUUCAAAUCAACAUAAUACCCACAGAUUAUAUGUGCGGAGUAACUGCAUGGGCCUGGUGUUAAUCAGAGCUUCCUUAAUGACCCUUCAUUGAAUGUAUUGGUGGGGGUCCAUAUUCUAAGUGAAAAACAGUUUAACACAGAGUCAAUUCUUGAUGAUCUCUUUUGUGAAUCAGAGAGCUCUGAGCAGCCAGAUACCGUACAGAGCAGUGGUGGGCAUGGGUUCUCCCAACUGCUUACCGAGGGCCUGUAUAAAGCCUGUCAGUCAGACUAAGACUUACUGUGGUUUUAAUCUCACUUCGUGCUUUUUUGGAAAAUUGUAACUCCAUGUUUCUGACCUUGGUCUGUUAAUCUCACCCUGAUUCCUGAUGAUUUUCUUCUUUGAUUAGUUGUUCUUCAACAUGGAAUCUAAUGUGAAUAUGAUUAACCCAACCAUACUGACUCACCAAAAAAAUAAAAUAAAACAAAAGACAUGAGCCUAUUCCUCUGCUGGACAAGAAACUAGAGGUUUACCCUUCUAUUACAAGCUCCUUGGAGAGGAAAAUUCAGUAAAUCCUCUGAAAAUGGUUUUCUUCAGUGUUUCUAUCCAUCAUCAUAAGGAGUCAUUAUCCUCCCUUUGUUAAUUUAUUCGGCAAUGUUUAUUAUAGCUGAAUUAUUGAUUAUGUGGCUUCAUAGGGGUAAUUUAAUUCAACUUAAUUUAUAAGGAAACACCUGCUCUGUGUAGGAUGACACAUUAGGCUCUGAAGAGAUGGCCCUUACACACUCAGGGAGUAUGACAGACAGAGUAAUGGUCCCCCGAAGAUGUCCACGUCCCAAUUCCAGAAACCUGUGAAUAUGUUACUUUACACGAGAAAACGGACUUUGCAGGUGUAAUUAAAUUAAGGAUCUGAGACACAGAGAUUUUCCUGGCUUAUAUGAGUGGGCCCAGUGAAAUCACAAAGGUCUUUAUAAAAGACAUGCAGAAGGGCCAGAAUGAGAGGAAGAGGGUAGUGAAGAGAUGCGGUGAGACAGACAGAGAGAGGGAGAUCUGAAAUGUCACGUUGCUGGCUUUGAAGACGGAGGAAGAGGCCAUGAGCCAAAGAAGGCAGGUGGCCUCUAGAAGCUGGAAAAGGCAAGGCAGUGAGUUCUCCCCAACAGCCUCCAGAAAGAAUGCUAAGGAAUUCUGACCUCCAGAACUGCAAAAUAAUUAAUUUAUGUUACUUUAAGUCACUAAAUUUGUGAUAAUGUGUUACAAAAACAAUAGAAAACUAAUAUAGGGAGUUUACAACCUAGUAAAAGAGAUGAAGGCUGGGCGCGGUGGCUCACGCCUGUAAUCCCAGCACUUUGGGAGGCCAGGCAGGCGGAUCAUGAGGUCAGGAGAUCGAGACCAUCCUGCCUAACAUGGUGAAACCCCGUCUCUACUAAAAAUACAAAAAAUUAGCCGGGCGUAGUGGCGGGCGCCUGUAGUCCCACCUUUACUCGGGAGGCUGAGGCAGGAGAAUGGCGUGAACCCGGGAGGCAGACCUUGCGGUGAGCCGAGAUUGUGCCACUGCACUCCAGCCUGGAUGACAGAGCGAGACUCCGUCUCAAAAAAAAAAAGAGAUAAGACAAGCAGCUUUGAUAUAAUUCAGAAAGUGAUAAAUAUAAAAUAGAAAUACAAAGAAAUUGCUGUGGAAAUACUGAUAAAGGGAGUACUUCUGGUUGUAGAGAUUAGGGAAGCUUCCAGGAGGUGGCUGUUUUGUAGAGCUCUGAUGAUUGGUAGGAUUUCAAAAGAGGGAGAUCCAAGAAACAGCAGGAAUGAAGGCCCAGAGUUGAAAGGUGUAGAUUAAACAAAAAGCUGACCUAGGCCCUUGACCAGCCAUUUUCUCAGGAAUAAAAAUUACUUGAUGGACAUUUCACAUAGUCUCCUUAAGAUAUAAUAGGUCACUAAGUCUGUUUUUAAAAAGCUGUAAUAAUAGUCAAUACAGGAUAAACUGUCCUAAGAGUUUAGGAUAGAUCUUGGGAAGAAAUCCCCUUUCAACCCAGAGCAUGCCGUAGCUAAGGGUGAACCUGGCUCAUUUUCAGACAAGCAGGCUAGUCAGGGAUUAACCAAAAAACAAGAGGGGUCAAUCAGAAUAACAAGGUGAUUCUUUCCAAAGGUAUCUAUUAACAUUUACAAAUUAGACAUUUCCUACAACCCGUGCAAGCAAGCUAAACCAAACGAUGGAAUCCAACUGAAUGUUCUUGGCAGAUGGAGGCUCUGAGGACUCACACUGAGGAUGAUGGAGAGGACAUUACAAUCCAGUCCCUUUUUGGUAGGUUUUGAUUGUUUUGUUUGGCUGAAGUCAGAACCCAUGAUCUUAAGGAAUUUUGAAUGGCUCUAAUUGAGCGUGGAUUUGGUCAUGAGACAAUUAUCCUGAUAAAACAAUUUUUUAAGGCACUCUGUUUGAGGGUUUGGGAAAAAAGAAAUGGAAUUAUCCAGAUUGUUUAUCUGCAUCACCCAAACUCACUAUUGAUCAUUCUCUUGGCAUUGCUUAUGGAGCCAAUGUCUUCCCAAGGUCAUACCUAUGCUCAGGUGCCUAUGCAAUACUUGCUUUUU